CUCCCCCACAGCUCACAGUCACUGGAUCACAGCCGGACUGCUCGCGACGCCGUCACGGAAAAUAACAGCUGGACACAGACAAACGAGUCCCGCGAAUUGUAUUUUUAAACUGGAGAGACCGCUGACAGGAUGUCAUCAUCUGUAACCGUCACUCGCCACAGUUCUCAAGCGAGAGCAAAGGCAGCCAGGGGUGGUGUGAUGUCAUUUGCAACAAGACGGCUGAUACUAAUAUGAGCCUAAAAUAAAGGACAAUAAUGGCAUCAGCCAUUCAAGUUAUGAUCCUGGCAGAUCUACUACUAUCUGAAAAGUAGUCUCUGCAGAUUGUUUCAAGAUGCACAAGAUGGAGCGUGGAGAGACGGGAUAUGGACCACAGUUUUUCAGCACCCACACCCCACACUCAAAUUCAUAUAGAAGUUCUCAAUUAUUAAAUGUUAAUUUCAUAGUUUAUAUUUAGCUGUGAAGUUAUAGUUCAUUGUCAUAAAUAUUAAACUACAUAUUAUUAUUAUUAUUAUUAUUAUUAUUUUACAUGAUAUGCAAAUUUCACCAAUUUGUUUAAUGUGUUAAUUAACUUUUUGAAAGUGAUUAUCUUUAAUAAUUCAGAUACCUGUUGAAAUGCACAUGUAAUUAUAUACUUGCUCGUAUCUGGAAGGUUGUGUUAAUAAAAAUCAUGUUGAAAGCGAAUGUUGCAAUACUGCUAAUCUUAAAAUAACAUUUUAUUAAACUAAACUUUGUAAUGUUCCAAAUAAAUGUUUUUAGGGUGUUGUAUUUUUAAGAAAAUGUAGGUGGAAAUAAAGUUGUAGGAACAUUAUGCUAACCAUAAAAUAAUGUUCUAGCAACGUUAGGCAAACUGGACAUUUUGACGUUCUUGGAAUGUUCCAAAUAAACGUUAAUAGAACAUUAUAUUUUUAAUGAAAAUUAGGUUGCAAGAACAUUGCAGGAAAGUUAUGCUAACCAUAAAAUAACGUUCUAGCAACGUUAAGCA